rnacentral:rRNA from 1 species
UACGUAGGGGGCAAGCGUUGUCCGGAAUCAUUGGGCGUAAAGAGCGUGUAGGCGGCCCGGUAAGUCCGCCGUGAAAGUCCAGGGCUCAACCCUGGAAUGCCGGUGGAUACUGUCGGGCUAGAGUCCGGAAGGGGCGAGUGGAAUUCCUGGUGUAGCGGUGAAAUGCGCAGAUAUCAGGAGGAACACCGAUGGCGAAGGCAGCUCGCUGGGACGGUACUGACGCUGAGACGCGAAAGCAUGGGGAGCAAACAGG